rnacentral:rRNA from 1 species
AUUGAACGCUGGCGGAAUGCUUUACACAUGCAAGUCGAACGGCAGCAUAGGUGCUUGCACCUGAUGGCGAGUGGCGAACGGGUGAGUAAUACAUCGGAACGUGCCCAGUCGUGGGGGAUAACGUAGCGAAAGUUACGCUAAUACCGCAUACGAUCUACGGAUGAAAGCGGGGGACCGUAAGGCCUCGCGCGAUUGGAGCGGCCGAUGUUAGAUUAGGUAGUUGGUGGGGUAAAGGCUCACCAAGCCGACGAUCUAUAGCUGGUCUGAGAGGAUGAUCAGCCACACUGGGACUGAGACACGGCCCAGACUCCUACGGGAGGCAGCAGUGGGGAAUUUUGGACAAUGGGCGCAAGCCUGAUCCAGCCAUUCCGCGUGCAGGACGAAGGCCUUCGGGUUGUAAACCUCUUUUAGCAGGGAAGAAGGGUAACUGACGGUACCUGCAGAAAAAGCACCGGCUAACUACGUG